CACGGGGGGAGCAAGCGUUGUUCGGAAUUACUGGGCGUAAAGGGCGCGUAGGCGGCCUUCUAAGUCGAACGUGAAAUCCCCGGGCUCAACCCGGGAACUGCGUCCGAUACUGGAAGGCUUGAAUCCGGGAGAGGGAUGCGGAAUUCCAGGUGUAGCGGUGAAAUGCGUAGAUAUCUGGAGGAACACCGGUGGCGAAGGCGGCAUCCUGGACCGGCAUUGACGCUGAGGCGCGAAAGCCAGGGGAGCAAACGGG
rnacentral:rRNA from 1 species